GUAGGUGGCGAGCGUUAUCCGGAUUUACUGGGGGGGCGUUAAAGCGCGUGCAGGGCGGUUCCGUAAGUCGGACGUGAAAGCUCCUGGCGUUAACUGGGAGAGGCCCGUUCGAUACUGCGGGACUUGAGGUCGGGAGAGGGACGUGGAAUUCCGGUGUAGUGGUGGAAUGCGUAGAUAUCGGAAGGAACACCAGUGGCGAAGGCGGCGUCCUGGCCCGCACCUGACGCUAAGGACGCGAAAGCGUGGGUAGCGAACGGGAUUAGAUACCCCGGUAGUCCACGCCGUAAACGGUGGAUACUAGGUGGUUGGUCGGCUAUCGUCAUCAGUGCCGUAGCUAACGCGUUAAGUAUCCCGCCGUGGGGACUACGGCCGCAAGGCUA
rnacentral:rRNA from 1 species